rnacentral:tRNA from 1 species
GCGGGCGUGGCGGAAUGGUAGACGCCGGAGACUUAAAAUCUUCUGAGUUAUGCUCGUGCGGGUUCGAGUCCCGCCGCCCGCACCA